GAUGAACGCUGGCGGCGUGCCUAAUACAUGCAAGUCGAGCGGACGGAUGGGAGCUUGCUCCCAGACCGUCAGCGGCGGACGGGUGAGUAACACGUGGGCAACCUGCCUGUAAGACUGGGAUAACUCCGGGAAACCGGGGCUAAUACCGGAUAACUCUUUCCCUCACAUGAGGGAAAGCUGAAAGAUGGCAUCUCGCUAUCACUUACAGAUGGGCCCGCGGCGCAUUAGCUAGUUGGUGAGGUAACGGCUCACCAAGGCGACGAUGCGUAGCCGACCUGAGAGGGUGAUCGGCCACACUGGGACUGAGACACGGCCCAGACUCCUACGGGAGGCAGCAGUAGGGAAUCUUCCGCAAUGGACGAAAGUCUGACGGAGCAACGCCGCGUGAGUGAUGAAGGUUUUCGGAUCGUAAAACUCUGUUGUCAGGGAAGAACAAGUACCGGAGUAACUGCCGGUACCUUGACGGUACCUGACCAGAAAGCCACGGCUAACUACGUG
rnacentral:rRNA from 1 species